UACGUAGGGGCCUAGCGUUAAUCGGAAUUACUGGGCGUAAAGCGUGCGUAGGCGGUUUGUUAAGUCUGUUGUGAAAUCCCCGGGCUCAACCUGGGAAUGGCAAUGGAUACUGGCAAGCUAGAGUGUGUCAGAGGAUGGUGGAAUUCCCGGUGUAGCGGUGAAAUGCGUAGAGAUCGGGAGGAACAUCAGUGGCGAAGGCGGCCAUCUGGGACAACACUGACGCUGAGGCACGAAAGCGUGGGGAGCAAACAGG
rnacentral:rRNA from 1 species